rnacentral:rRNA from 2 species
CGAUGCGGUCUAUCAUGCAAGUCGAGCGGACAGAAGGGAGCUUGCUCCCGGAUGUUAGCGGCGGACGGGUGAGUAACACGUGGGUAACCUGCCUGUAAGACUGGGAUAACUCCGGGAAACCGGAGCUAAUACCGGAUAGUUCCUUGAACCGCAUGGUUCAAGGAUGAAAGACGGUUUCGGCUGUCACUUACAGAUGGACCCGCGGCGCAUUAGCUAGUUGGUGAGGUAACGGCUCACCAAGGCGACGAUGCGUAGCCGACCUGAGAGGGUGAUCGGCCACACUGGGACUGAGACACGGCCCAGACUCCUACGGGAGGCAGCAGUAGGGAAUCUUCCGCAAUGGACGAAAGUCUGACGGAGCAACGCCGCGUGAGUGAUGAAGGUUUUCGGAUCGUAAAGCUCUGUUGUUAGGGAAGAACAAGUGCAAGAGUAACUGCUUGCACCUUGACGGUACCUAACCAGAAAGCCACGGCUAACUACGUGCCAGCAGCCGCGGUAAUACGUAGGUGGCAAGCGUUGUCCGGAAUUAUUGGGCGUAAAGGGCUCGCAGGCGGUUUCUUAAGUCUGAUGUGAAAGCCCCCGGCUCAACCGGGGAGGGUCAUUGGAAACUGGGAAACUUGAGUGCAGAAGAGGAGAGUGGAAUUCCACGUGUAGCGGUGAAAUGCGUAGAGAUGUGGAGGAACACCAGUGGCGAAGGCGACUCUCUGGUCUGUAACUGACGCUGAGGAGCGAAAGCGUGGGGAGCGAACAGGAUUAGAUACCCUGGUAGUCCACGCCGUAAACGAUGAGUGCUAAGUGUUAGGGGGUUUCCGCCCCUUAGUGCUGCAGCUAACGCAUUAAGCACUCCGCCUGGGGAGUACGGUCGCAAGACUGAAACUCAAAGGAAUUGACGGGGGCCCGCACAAGCGGUGGAGCAUGUGGGUUUAAUUCGAAGCAACGCGAAGAACCUUACCAGGUCUUGACAUCCUCUGACACCCUAGAGAUAGGGCUUUCCCUUCGGGACAGAGUGACAGUGUGCAUGAUGUCGUCAGCUCGUGUCGUGAGAUGUUGGGUUAAGUCCCGCAACGAG